GGCAAGAUGGCCGAGCGGUCUAUGGCGUGUGACUCAAGCUGAAUAAGCUUGCCUGACUAAGUCGGGUUUCUCAUCUCCGUGAGGAGGCGUGGGUUCGAAUCCCACUCUUGUCA